rnacentral:rRNA from 1 species
GCGACGGAUUGGCUCGCGUCCGAUUAGCUUGUUGGCGGGGUAACGGCCCACCAAGGCUACGAUCGGUAGGGGUUCUGAGAGGAAGGUCCCCCACAAUGGAACUGAGACACGGUCCAUGCUCCUACGGGAGGCAGCAGUGAGGAAUAUUGGUCAAUGGGCGGAAGCCUGAACCAGCCAUGCCGCGUGCGGGAAGGAGGCCCUAUGGGCUGUGAACCGCUUUUGCCUGGGGGCAAUAAGGGCGUCGUGCACGUCCGAUGAGAGUACCAGGCGAAUAAGCAUCGGCUAACUCCGUGCCAGCAGCCGCGGUAAUACGGGGGAUGCGAGCGUUAUCCGGAUUCAUUGGGUUUAAAGGGUGCGUAGGCUGUGCGUCAAGUCAGGGGUGAAAUUCCGGGGCUCAACUCCGGGGCUGCCCUUGAUACUGUCGCGCUGGAGUGCGGAUGCCGCCGGAGGAAUGAGUGGUGUAGCGGUGAAAUGCUUAGAUAUCACUCAGAACACCGAUUGCGAAGGCAUCUGGCGAAUCCGUAACUGACGCUGAGGCACGAAAGCGUGGGGAUAGAACAGGAUUAGAUACCCUGGUAUUCCACGCCGUAAACGAUGAUGGCUAACCGCCGGCGACACACUGUCGGUGGCCAAGCGAAAGCGAUAAGCCAUCCACCUGGGGAGUACGUCGGCAAC